rnacentral:lncRNA from 1 species
ACUCCACUACUCUUCACAACAAACUCCGCCUGACUCUGGGCAGCCCACUGCCAGAUGGUUACGGAUAUCGCUAUCAGUCUGCUGCUCCCUUUUGCCUAUAAAAGGGGGCUCCAGAUACGUUAUUCUCUAAGCUCUCAUUUUUACCUAGAAACUCUGCUAAAUUUUCGUUCGAGCACUCCAUUCUUGUUGAGGCAGAGAACUGAUUUGAACGUCGGAG